rnacentral:rRNA from 1 species
UACGUAGGUGGCAAGCGUUGUCCGGAUUUACUGGGCGUAAAGAGCGCGCAGGCGGUCGUUCAAGUCGCGUGUGAAAGCCCCCGGCUCAACUGGGGAGGGUCACGCGAUACUGAUCGACUCGAAGGCAGGAGAGGGUAGUGGAAUUCCCGGUGUAGUGGUGAAAUGCGUAGAUAUCGGGAGGAACACCAGUGGCGAAGGCGACUACCUGGCCUGUUCUUGACGCUGAGGCGCGAAAGCUAGGGGAGCAAACGGA